rnacentral:rRNA from 1 species
UCAAGAAACUUCCACAAUGGGCGAAAGCCUGAUGGAGCGACGUCGCGUGAUGGACGAAGUGCUUCGGCACGUAAACAUCUUUUAUGUGGGAUGAAAUUAUUGACAGUACCACAUGAAUAAGGGGCUCCUAACUCUGUGCCAGCAGGAGCGGUAAUACAGAGGCCCCAAGCGUUAUCCGGAAUCACUGGGCGUAAAGGGUGUCGAGGCGGUUGUAUUAGUCGUUCGUAAAAUCUACGAGCUUAACUUGUAGGCGGCGAACGAAACGGUACGACUUGAGGUUUGGAGAGGUGCGUGGAACUCACGGUGUAGGGGUGAAAUCCGUUGAUAUCGUGGGGAACACCAAGGCGAAGGCAGCGCACUGGCCAAAUCUGACGCUCACACACGAAAGCUAGGGUAGCGAAGAGGAUUAGAUACCCCAGUAGUCCCUGAGCGGGCUGGCAAGGCGCAU